rnacentral:misc_RNA from 1 species
AAGUCGUAACAAGGUUUCCGUAGGUGAACCUGCGGAAGGAUCAUUAACACGUAUCCAACGUUAAACAACCCUGUGAACUUUCAGACGCUCUUGUAGCCCAGGCGGAACAGCAAUCCCGGUAAAUCAAUGACCUCUGUCCAAUUAGUUACAAUCGAGCUAGGAGCAGUGGCAUGGUUUCCCUAAGCAGUGCAGAAGGAUCCACUGAGUAAGGAUAACGCAUCACGGUUGCUAGAGGUCGAUCACCGGCCGGCAGACAUGUCACAGGGCUAUAUGCCCCUUCGUUCACCCCUUGCCUAAAACUCGCCCACCGGAAACGCUGGGCACAAAAACCGAACAACUGUUAACAAUGGAUAUCUUGGUUCUC